GCCUGGGCUUUGUUGGCCUAGACUCAAGACUCUUGUAGGACAAACAAAAAUGAAAUCCCAAAUGUUAUCACCCUGCCUGAAGAAGUCAAAUGGGUUGAAAUGAACGCCCCGCAUAUGCGCUACAAAAGACCCCCACUGUGCUAGAAGCCAGGCUCUACUGCCCCUGAUAUCCAGGCUGCUCUGUGUCUCUGGUUUCAGGCCGGCUGGAUUUCAUCAGCAUGUGCCACUGCUUCCCCAGCCAGGCAGAGAUGACAGAAUGCAUGGUACAUAGCUGUGAACUUGAAGACUACCUAAUUUUUUUUUGCAAGAGUUGACUGGAACUUUGUUACUAACCACUGAGACUCAACACAGAAGCCUCAAAAGGAGGGAGAAGAUACGGGUCAAAAUACCCAAAGGACCAUGCAAGCGCAUCUCUACUUAAUGGAAAGAAACCAACAAAAAGGCAACAGUACAGAUCAUUUUCCCCAAUAGAAAUGCCAGCUUGUUUUUAUUUAUUUUAGGAAUAAACAUGCUGUGUGGCAGAAGGAUUUUGUUUUAAUUAUGAUUUCCUGUUGCCCCAAAUACAUAUGUGUGGUGGGUGUGAAAGGAAAUUAACAAGCUCUCUGUGGAGAGACUUUUUUUGUUUGUUUGAUCCUGGCACCAAUCAGCAAGGCAAUGAUUGAAGCUGAAAGACAAACACAAAAUAAACUGUACACAUUGAGCUACGGAUUAGACAAAACACAGCAAGAGAGAGAAGAAAUGUAUUUGUGUUUUAUUUUCUAACAGAAACAAUGCCACUCAGCUUGAUAGCAACAACACUGAGUUGUGAUGGCCACAUUGUUCAUUACUUGGAGAAGAAAUGGUAAGUCUUCCAAAGAACUCCAGAGUUGGAAUACUCCUAAAAGCUUUUUGCUAAAUCUUGAAACAGUUGCGUUUCUAAUUUUUGAAAAAUUGGAAGCUUGUUCACAAAUGCACCAGGCAUCCACAGAGAGCCAAGGAAUGGUUUUGUGCUAUUCAAGGGGACACCUGCACUGGGCUGCUCUUCUCUUCAGCCACAAUUUUCUGUUAUUAGUUUGGAGAAAUAGGGUAGGCGAGAUCAAUUUCCCAAGAUUCCCAAGAACCAUUUUUACCUGCAAGGAUCUUUGGCCCCAAUCAAUCAAAAUUAGGACUGGCUUGGCAUUUGCCAUUUCCCAUUGUCAAACUGAAGAAGAAUGGGAGAAUUCCCCUCCUUCUUGUCUCAGUGAAGCGGCAAGCCACCCAUUUUCGAAGCUGGAAUGGUUUUGUGGACAGGGGAUGAAACAAUGCAGCAAGCACAUUAAGGAAAUUGGAAACAAUGCUGGGGCUGUAUCCUUGGUCAUAAUUCUGGCAUUUGAGAGAGGGAACAUCAGCUACCCUGAAUGUCAAGGUAGUGGCGAUUGAUGGAGACAUGCCUGUCUUCUUGUCCCUCCUAACAAUUGCUCUUCACACCUGUCAUUCUCUUAAAGGAAAUGACAGAGCAGUUGUCUUGUGAACACUAUGCUGAACCUCUUCUACUAAAUUAUGGGUAAUGGUUUUGAGAUGUUGACUUUUAACUCUGGGGAUUAUACUGUCACUGUAGACUUCAUGUUGAGACACUACACAUUCCAGAAUUUAAAGUCAUAGUACUUCAAAUUACAAAUGGGAAAGGCGUGUUGGCAAAUGUCCCAUAUACCAUCACUAGGGAUGGUACUUGCUCUCUGUGGUCUGUUUGGAAAUAUGUUUGCAUCUCAAAAUACCAAUGUGAAGAGGUUCUUUAGGUAGACAAUUACAGUAAACCUUCACUGGGUGGCUUCUGAACAUCAAAGGAGAUCUUUCUAUGUGCUAGAACUUGAAGAUUAUUAAUACAUUUCUAAAAAGUUAGUGUGCUUUCUUAAGUGGCUCUGGCUUGCCUGGAGCUCAAUAUGUAGACCAGGCUGGUCCAGGUCUCCUAGAGAUCCAUCUGCCUGUUCCUCCCACAUACAAAUCAAUGCUUCUUUAGUCCACUGAUUUUUGGAGACAGGUUCUUUAUUUGUAGCGCAGGAUGCCCUCAAAGUAGGAAUUCUUCUGCCUUAGCCUCUAGGGUACUAGGUUAGAAGCAUACAGCAUCACACUUUAUCUGCUAUUCACUAAGCCAUAUUGUAGUCAGUUAGGAUGCAGUCCCUAUAAAUGAGUCACACUGUUGUCCUGUGAGCUGCUUCCUCUCUCGGGGGUUGGGUUGGUAUCAAGGGUAUGGUAAAAGACUGACUUACUGUAUGU